ACUACUUAGAGGAUGCGGUUGCCCCUCGCGACAAGGCUCUUGAUCUUCUUGGUUGGUGGAAAGAGAAUGCUCCAAGGUACCCAAUGUUGGCCAAGAUAGCCAAGAGGUUCAUUACUAUCCCGGCUACCUCCGUGUCUUCGGAAUCUACCUUUAGCACGACCGGAAGGAUUUUAGAUGACUAUAGGAGUUCGUUAAAACCGGUUAUGGUGGAGGCAUUAGUUUGUGGUGCAAGUUAUAUCAAGGGUGCUCAUGUUGACUUGAAUCUGGUGGUAUGUUUGCCAUCUUUUCCUUACCUUUGCUUUAUUUCUUUUUUGGUCUUGUUGUAUGUGAUGUGAGCAUUUGUCUAACUUCCACACUUGUAGCCGAGGGAUGAGAAUAAAGAGGAUGAUGUUGAGAACAUCAAGUUACCCACUGUGGUGGAGGAGAUCAACGAUUGACAUUCAUCAUGUGGAUGUUGAUCUUGCUAUUUUGGAGAUGAAUGUCAAAGUGAUCUUUCUCAUGUGAAGGCUACUUUUGCAUUUCUGUUAUGUUUGUCAUGAACUAUGAAUUGUCACUGCUAGCUUGGAGAUGAACCUCUCAUUUGUGUUAUGUUCAACUUGUCAAUUGCCAUGGACUUGGAAUUGUUAGAGCAAGUUUGUAAUCGUGUCGUUCAAUGAUGAUAAGACCUUAUGUUUGUGGA